ensembl:lncRNA
GAGAAAUUAAUAUUGCAGUAAUUAAAUAUCCACUUAGUUAUCACCAAAGCUCUCUAUAUUUAGCUGUAGAUCAUUUAACCGUUACACUGCCUCAGAAGCCUGUCCAAAAUCAGUUUCGUGAGGUGCCUUCGUGCAAAAACGCUGCCUGCAAAGUCAUUGCCUGAUACGGCAGCGAGGCAGCAAGUCACCUGCCUAAGUUUUCGGAUGCAGCCAUAAUCUGUGUCCCAAACUUAAGUGCAUGGACUCCGAAGUGCGCAUUUGAAGUGCGAAUGCGUCACAGUGGCGCGACGAAGGGUGUCCCAAACUGAAGUGCGUGGACUCAGAAGUGCGGAUGUGAAAUGCGAUUGCGUCACACCGUCACGACGUAAGCUGUCCCAAAGUCAGAAUGCGCACUUCGAAGACCGCAUUUGAAGUGCGAAUGCGUCACCGCGGCGCGACGAAGGCUGACGAGUUUCGAAAGCGACUUCAAAUGCGCCCUUCAUUUCCCAUGAAAAUGAAGUGUACAUCUUAAGGACACUUCGCACCCUUCCAUAUCCCAGAAUCACUUGCGUGCAUAUGAUGAAGGUGUUUAUAUUCAGAGGCAGGUGAGAGUUCUGUGGAGGACUUCACAUUGAAAUGCAUGGUUUAUUUGUGAAGUGUCCUGAGACAGGUGAGGGAGCGAGUGGACAGGGAGGACAUCAAACUCAAACAAAUACAUUCUUCAUUAGCCAAGAGUAAACUGUGGGAAAAAUAUGAGUACAUUACAGUUUUUCCAAUAUUUUUAAAAUGUCAUAUUGUCAAUGAAACAACCUAAUUUCUGUAGUUUAUUUUUGUGACGCAAGUUAAAAAUGAAAUGCAUAAAUUGUAUACAUUAUUUAUUUUUUGUGUGUAAUUUAUUCCUAAAUAACCCUGAGUACUUUCUGUACAUUUUGUAUUUUUGUUUUGCAUAUUCACGUGUAAAUAAAAGAAAAGUGCUUAUGUACAUUGUUAAUUUUUUUUAAUGUAGCUUAAAAUUUUUUUUUUCACAAAACAUUCUUUUAUAUGUUUAUUUGUUUGUCCUG